GAUCGUACAGUUUACUUGGAUAACUGUGGUAAUUCUAGAGCUAAUACAUGCGAGAAGCGCCGACCUCGCGGGAGGCGUGCAUUUAUCAGACCAAAAACCGGCCGCGUCUUCGGGCGCGUUCGCCUUGGUGACUCUGGAUAACUUUGCGGAUCGCACGGUCUAGCACCGGCGACGGAUCAUUCAAGUGUCUGCCCUAUCAACUUUCGUCGGUACGGUAUUUGCCUACCGAGGUUCUUACGGGUGACGGGGAAUCAGGGUUCGAUUCCGGAGAGGGAGCCUGAGAAACGGCUACCACAUCCAAGGAAGGCAGCAGGCGCGCAAAUUACCCAUUCCCGACGCGGGGAGGUAGUUACGAAAAAUAACAAUGCAGGACUCGUUCGAGGCCCUGUAAUUGGAAUGAGUACACUUUAAAAGCUUUAACGAGUAUCCAUUGGAGGGCAAGUCUGGUGCCAGCAGCCGCGGUAAUUCCAGCUCCAAAAGUAUAUAUUUAAGUUGUUGCGGUUAAAAAGCUCGUAGUUGGAUUUUGGGCGCAGGCGGCCGGUCCGUCGCAAGGCGUGUACUGGACGUCCUGGCCUUCCCUCCGGUUCUCCGCCGGUGCUCUUGACUGAGUGUCGGCGGCGGCCGGAACGUUUACUUUGAAAAAAUUAGAGUGUUCAAAGCAGGCUCUCGAGCCUGGAUAAUGGUGCAUGGAAUAAUGGA
rnacentral:ncRNA from 1 species